rnacentral:rRNA from 1 species
UACGGAGGGUGCGAGCGUUGUCCGGAAUCAUUGGGCGUAAAGGGCGCGUAGGUGGCCCGGUCAGUCCGUGGUGAAAGCGCGGGGCUCAACCCUGCGUCGGCCAUGGAUACUGCCGCGGCUGGAGCACUGUAGAGGCAGGCGGAAUUCCGGGUGUAGCGGUGGAAUGCGUAGAGAUCCGGAAGAACACCGGUGGCGAAGGCGGCCUGCUGGGCAGUUUAGCUGACACUGAGGCGCGACAGCGUGGGGAGCAAACAGG